rnacentral:rRNA from 1 species
UACGUAGGGUGCAAGCGUUAAUCGGAAUUACUGGGCGUAAAGCGUGCGCAGGCGGUUUUGUAAGUCUGUCGUGAAAUCCCCAGGCCUAACCUGGGAACUGCAUUCGAGACUGCAUGGCUAGAGUAUCGGAGAGGGAAGUGGAAUUUCAGGUGUAGCGGUGAAAUGCGUAGAUAUCAAGAGGAACACCUGAGGUGAAGACGGGUUGCUGGGCUGAUACUGACGCUGAGGCGCGAAAGCUAGGAUAGCAAACGGG